rnacentral:rRNA from 1 species
AGGACGAACGCUGGCGGCGUGCUUAACACAUGCAAGUCGAACGGAAAGGCCCUUUCGGGGGUACUCGAGUGGCGAACGGGUGAGUAACACGUGGGUGAUCUGCCCUGCACUUUGGGAUAAGCCUGGGAAACUGGGUCUAAUACCGAAUACACCUUGCUGGCUGCAUGGCCUGGUGGGGGAAAGCUUUUGCGGUGUGGGAUGGGCCCGCGGCCUAUCAGCUUGUUGGUGGGGUGAUGGCCUACCAAGGCGACGACGGGUAGCCGGCCUGAGAGGGUGUCCGGCCACACUGGGACUGAGAUACGGCCCAGACUCCUACGGGAGGCAGCAGUGGGGAAUAUUGCACAAUGGGCGCAAGCCUGAUGCAGCGACGCCGCGUGAGGGAUGACGGCCUUCGGGUUGUAAACCUCUUUCAGUAUCGACGAAGCGCAAGUGACGGUAGGUACAGAAGAAGCACCGGCCAACUACGUGCCAGCAGCCGC